rnacentral:rRNA from 1 species
GACGAACGCUGGCGGCGUGCCUAAUACAUGCAAGUAGAACGCUGAAGGAGGAGCUUGCUUCUCUGGAUGAGUUGCGAACGGGUGAGUAACGCGUAGGUAACCUGCCUGGUGGCGGGGGAUAACUAUUGGAAACGAUAGCUAAUACCGCAUAAUAGUAGAUGUUGCAUGACAUUUGCUUAAAAGGUGCAAUUGCAUCACUACCAGAUGGACCUGCGUUGUAUUAGCUAGUUGGUGAGGUAACGGCUCACCAAGGCAACGAUACAUAGCCGACCUGAGAGGGUGAUCGGCCACACUGGGACUGAGACACGGCCCAGACUCCUACGGGGGGCAGCAGUAGGGAAUCGUCGGCAAUGGACGGAAGUCUGACCGAGCAACGCCGCGUGAGUGAAGAAGGUUUUCGGAUCGUAAAGCUCUGUUGUAAGAGAAGAACGAGUGUGAGAGUGGAAAGUUCACACUGUGACGGUAUCUUACCAGAAAGGGACGGCUAACUACGUG